UCCCCUAGUAACUGCGAGUGAAGAGGGAAAAGCUCAAAUUUUGAAUCUGGCAGUCUAAUGUUAAUGGCUGUCCGAAUUGUAAUCUAGAGAAGCGUCUUCCGCGCUGGCCCGUGUACAAGUCUCCUGGAAGGGAGCAUCGUAGAGGGUGACAAUCCCGUCUAUUGACACGGACUACCAGGGCUUAUGUGUUGCGCUCUCGACGAGUCGAGUUGUUUGGGAAUGCAGCUCAAAUAGGGUGGUAAAUUCCAUCUAAAGCUAAAUACAGGCAAGAGACCGAUAGUGAACAAGUACCGUGAGGGAAAGAUCAAAAGAACUUUGAAAAGAGAGUUAAACAGUACGUGAAAUUGCUGAAAGGGAAACGCUCGAUGUCAGUCACGUCGAUUAGGGGUCAGCUUAGCUUUAUCUGCCGAGUCUAAUUCUUA
rnacentral:rRNA from 1 species